rnacentral:telomerase_RNA from 1 species
CCAUUAUUAGGGUCGGAAUUUUGUGUUACAAGUCACAUUUCGAUUUCCUGUGUAACAAAACAGGUAGAGUGUGCGAAUAACCCAAUAACCACAUUUAAAGUAUAAAUAAUGGUUUUCUUCGUCAUUUGGGUUUCCCAUUGCUAUUGGCAAAAAGAAAUCAGGAAAUGACAGGAGCAAUAAUAUUUAAUUAUUGCGUUU